GAGAGACUAGCUCAUCUGGAUAGAGCGUUACCCUCCGGAGGUAAAGGUGGUGGGUUCGAGUCCCGCGUCUCUCA
rnacentral:tRNA from 1 species